UCAGCGGCAGACGGGUGAGUAACACGUAGAUAACCUGCCCUCAAGACGGGGACAACCGGUGGAAACAGCGGCUAAUACCCGAUAUGCUCACAGGAUCGGGAGAUCGAGUGAGGAAAGGCUUCGGUGCUUGAGGAGGGAUCUGCGGCCCAUCAGCUAGUUGGUGAGGUAACGGCUCACCAAGGCGAAGACGGGUAGGGGGUGUGAGAGCAUGGCCCCCCACAAUGGGACUGAGACACGGCCCAUACUCCUACGGGAGGCAGCAGCGGGGAAUAUUGCGCAAUGGACGGAAGUCAGACGCAGCGACGCCGCGUGGGUGAGGAAGGCCUUCGGGUUGUAAAGCCCUUUUCAGGGGAGCGAGAAAGGACGGUACCCUUGGAAUAAGCGUCGGCUAACUACGUGCCAGCAGCCGCGGUAAGACGUAGGACGCAAGCGUUAUCCGGAUUUACUGGGCGUAAAGCGCCUGUAGGCGGUCAAGUAAGUCGGAUGUGAAAGCCCCGUGCUCAACGCGGGGAAGCCAUUCGAUACUGCGUGACUAGAGAACGGCAGAGGGAAACGGAAUUUCUGGUGUAGCGGUAAAAUGCGCAGAGAUCAGAAAGAACACCGAUGGCGAAGGCAGUUUCCUAGGCCGCAUCUGACGCUGAGAGGCGAAAGCUAGGGGAGCAAACAGGAUUAGAGACCCUGGUAGUCCUAGCUGUAAACGAUGGAUGCUAGGUGUGGGCCGGAAAGGUCCGUGCCGUAGUUAACGCGAUAAGCAUCCCGCCUGGGGAGUACGGCCGCAAGGCUAAAACUCAAACGAAUUGACGGGGACCCGCACAAGCAGCGGAGCGUGUGGUUUAAUUCGAUGCUACACGCAGCACUCUCACUGGGGGCGACACAUAUAGGUGUUAUGUGAAGUAAACGCGGAGCGAUCUUUGCGGGGAGCUAUACACAGGUCGCUGCAUGCCUUUCGUCAGUUCGUCCCGUGAGUUGUCGGAUUAAGUCCCGUAACGAGCGCAACCCUUGUCCUUAGUUACAAGUGUCUAAGGAGACUGCCGGUGACAAACCGGAGGAAGGUGGGGA
rnacentral:rRNA from 1 species